CCUACGGGAGGCAGCAGUGGGGAAUUGUUCGCAAUGGGCGCAAGCCUGACGACGCAACGCCGCGUGGAGGAUGAAGGUUUUCGGAUUGUAAACUCCUGUUGAUCGGGACGCGGUACCGGUUGAGGAAGCCCCGGCUAACUCUGUGCCAGCAGCCGCGGUAAUACAGAGGGGGCAAGCGUUGUUCGGAAUUACUGGGCGUAAAGGGCGCGUAGGCGGCCGCUUAAGUCAGACGUGAAAUCCCUCGGCUCAACCGGGGAACUGCGUCUGAGACUGAGCGGCUUGAAUCCGGGAGAGGAAUGCGGAAUUCCAGGUGUAGCGGUGAAAUGCGUAGAUAUCUGGAGGAACACCGGUGGCGAAGGCGGCAUUCUGGACCGGAUUGACGCUGAGGCGCGAAAGCCAGGGGAGCAAACGGGAUUAGAUACCCUUGUAGUC
rnacentral:rRNA from 1 species